AUGACAACUGGGGAAGCAAUUUCUAGAAUGUCUGCGGAUACUGUAUUGGUACAAGAUGCCCUUGGAGAGAAGGUGGACAAGCAUGCACAGCUUUUGACAAUCUUUGUUGGAGGUUUUGUCAUCGGAUUCAUAAGAGGUUGGGUGUUAGCUCUAGUUAUGCUGGCAUGCAUACCUCCCAAGUAUUCUCUCUUUUGCAACCGUCUCUCUCUCUCGACUGUGUGCUCAAAUAUCUGCCAGGAGGCAAGCAUCAUACGACGAUGCGGGCAAUGUUGUCAAGCAGAGCAUCAGAGCUAUAAGAAUGGUUGUCUCCUUCAACGGUGA
rnacentral:rRNA from 1 species